rnacentral:rRNA from 1 species
UCCAGACUCCUACGGGAGGCAGCAGUGGGGGAUAUUGCACAAUGGGGGGAACCCUGAUGCAGCGACGCCGCGUGGGUGAAGGAGCGUUUCGGCGCGUAAAGCCCUGUCAGCAGGGAAGAAAAUGACGGUACCUGAAGAAGAAGCCCCGGCUAACUACGUGCCAGCAGCCGCGGUAAUACGUAGGGGGCAAGCGUUAUCCGGAUUUACUGGGUGUAAAGGGGGCGCAGACGGCGAUGCAAGCCAGGAGUGAAAGCCCGGGGCCCAACCCCGGGACUGCAUUUGGAACUGUGCUGCUAGAGUGUCGGAGAGGCAGGCGGAAUUCCUAGUGUAGCGGUGAAAUGCGUAGAUAUUAGGAGGAACACCAGUGGCGAAGGCGGCCUGCUGGACGAUGACUGACGUUGAGGCUCGAAAGCGUGGGGAGCAAACAGGAUUAGAUACCCGGGUACU